rnacentral:rRNA from 1 species
AGCCCAGAGCCUGAAUCAGUGUGUGUGUUAGUGGAAGCGUCUGGAAAGGCGCGCGAUACAGGGUGACAGCCCCGUACACAAAAAUACACAUAUUGUGAGCUCGAUGAGUAGGGCGGGACACGUGGUAUCCUGUCUGAAUAUGGGGGGACCAUCCUCCAAGGCUAAAUACUCCUGACUGACCGAUAGUGAACCAGUACCGUGAGGGAAAGGCGAAAAGAACCCCGGCGAGGGGAGUGAAAAAGAACCUGAAACCGUGUACGUACAAGCAGUGGGAGCACGCUUAGGCGUGUGACUGCGUACCUUUUGUAUAAUGGGUCAGCGACUUAUAUUCUGUAGCAAGGUUAACCGAAUAGGGGAGCCGAAGGGAAACCGAGUCUUAACUGGGCGUUAAGUUGCAGGGUAUAGACCCGAAACCCGGUGAUCUAGCCAUGGGCAGGUUGAAGGUUGGGUAACACUAACUGGAGGACCGAACCGACUAAUGUUGAAAAAUUAGCGGAUGACUUGUGGCUGGGGGUGAAAGGCCAAUCAAACCGGGAGAUAGCUGGUUCUCCCCGAAAGCUAUUUAGGUAGCGCCUCGUGAAUUCAUCUCCGGGGGUAGAGCACUGUUUCGGCAAGGGGGUCAUCCCGACUUACCAACCCGAUGCAAACUGCGAAUACCGGAGAAUGUUAUCACGGGAGACACACGGCGGGUGCUAACGUCCGUCGUGAAGAGGGAAACAACCCAGACCGCCAGCUAAGGUCCCAAAGUCAUGGUUAAGUGGGAAACGAUGUGGGAAGGCCCAGACAGCCAGGAUGUUGGCUUAGAAGCAGCCAUCAUUUAAAGAAAGCGUAAUAGCUCACUGGUCGAGUCGGCCUGCGCGGAAGAUGUAACGGGGCUAAACCAUGCACCGAAGCUGCGGCAGCGACGCUUAUGCGUUGUUGGGUAGGGGAGCGUUCUGUAAGCCUGUGAAGGUGUGCUGUGAGGUAUGCUGGAGGUAUCAGAAGUGCGAAUGCUGACAUAAGUAACGAUAAAGCGGGUGAAAAGCCCGCUCGCCGGAAGACCAAGGGUUCCUGUCCAACGUUAAUCGGGGCAGGGUGAGUCGACCCCUAAGGCGAGGCCGAAAGGCGUAGUCGAUGGGAAACAGGUUAAUAUUCCUGUACUUGGUGUUACUGCGAAGGGGGGACGGAGAAGGCUAUGUUGGCCGGGCGACGGUUGUCCCGGUUUAAGCGUGUAGGCUGGUUUUCCAGGCAAAUCCGGAAAAUCAAGGCUGAGGCGUGAUGACGAGGCACUACGGUGCUGAAGCAACAAAUGCCCUGCUUCCAGGAAAAGCCUCUAAGCAUCAGGUAACAUCAAAUCGUACCCCAAACCGACACAGGUGGUCAGGUAGAGAAUACCAAGGCGCUUGAGAGAACUCGGGUGAAGGAACUAGGCAAAAUGGUGCCGUAACUUCGGGAGAAGGCACGCUGAUAUGUAGGUGAAGCGACUUGCUCGUGGAGCUGAAAUCAGUCGAAGAUACCAGCUGGCUGCAACUGUUUAUUAAAAACACAGCACUGUGCAAACACGAAAGUGGACGUAUACGGUGUGACGCCUGCCCGGUGCCGGAAGGUUAAUUGAUGGGGUCAGCGCAAGCGAAGCUCUUGAUCGAAGCCCCGGUAAACGGCGGCCGUAACUAUAACGGUCCUAAGGUAGCGAAAUUCCUUGUCGGGUAAGUUCCGACCUGCACGAAUGGCGUAAUGAUGGCCAGGCUGUCUCCACCCGAGACUCAGUGAAAUUGAACUCGCUGUGAAGAUGCAGUGUACCCGCGGCAAGACGGAAAGACCCCGUGAACCUUUACUAUAGCUUGACACUGAACAUUGAGCCUUGAUGUGUAGGAUAGGUGGGAGGCUUGGAAGUGUGGACGCCAGUCUGCAUGGAGCCGACCUUGAAAUACCACCCUUUAAUGUUUGAUGUUCUAACGUUGACCCGUAAUCCGGGUUGCGGACAGUGUCUGGUGGGUAGUUUGACUGGGGCGGUCUCCUCCUAAAGAGUAACGGAGGAGCACGAAGGUUGGCUAAUCCUGGUCGGACAUCAGGAGGUUAGUGCAAUGGCAUAAGCCAGCUUGACUGCGAGCGUGACGGCGCGAGCAGGUGCGAAAGCAGGUCAUAGUGAUCCGGUGGUUCUGAAUGGAAGGGCCAUCGCUCAACGGAUAAAAGGUACUCCGGGGAUAACAGGCUGAUACCGCCCAAGAGUUCAUAUCGACGGCGGUGUUUGGCACCUCGAUGUCGGCUCAUCACAUCCUGGGGCUGAAGUAGGUCCCAAGGGUAUGGCUGUUCGCCAUUUAAAGUGGUACGCGAGCUGGGUUUAGAACGUCGUGAGACAGUUCGGUCCCUAUCUGCCGUGGGCGCUGGAGAACUGAGGGGGGCUGCUCCUAGUACGAGAGGACCGGAGUGGACGCAUCACUGGUGUUCGGGUUGUCAUGCCAAUGGCACUGCCCGGUAGCUAAAUGCGGAAGAGAUAAGUGCUGAAAGCAUCUAAGCACGAAACUUGCCCCGAGAUGAGUUCUCCCUGACUCCUUGAGAGUCCUGAAGGAACGUUGAAGACGACGACGUUGAUAGGCCGGGUGUGUAAGCGCAGCGAUGCGUUGAGCUAACCGGUACUAAUGAACCGUGAGGCUUAACCUUACAACGCCGAAG